rnacentral:rRNA from 1 species
UACGUAGGGAGCAAGCGUUGUCCGGAAUCAUUGGGCGUAAAGCGCGCGUAGGUGGCCCCAUAAGUCCGCUGUGAAAGUCAAAGGCUCAACCUUUGAAAGCCGGUGGAUACUGUGGGACUAGAGUACGGAAGAGGCGAGUGGAAUUCCUGGUGUAGCGGUGGAAUGCGUAGAGAUCCGGAAGAACACCGGUGGCGAAGGCGGCCCGCUGGGCAGUGACUGACGCUGAGGAGCGAAAGCGUGGGAGCGAACAGG